GUUAUACUUGGGUGAGAGUGGUC
rnacentral:misc_RNA from 1 species